GAGGGUGCAGUUCAGGGGCAGAGCACGUGCUCAGCAUGCACAAGGUCCUGGGUUCAAUUCCCAGUACCUCCC
rnacentral:tRNA from 1 species